rnacentral:lncRNA from 1 species
GGUAAAAGAAUAGGCUGGUGACAAGAGUUGACUCUGUCUCUUGACACUGCCCUAUCUCUACUCUGAAGAAAAGGAAAGGCUAGCCUUAGCAGGUGGUAGGAAGGCUCUAUUACAGAUAUGGGUCAUGCUCGGAACAGUAGAGGCCUGGAGGAGAGCAAAGAAGUUUUCUGAGAUUACAGUAAAAGCUACUAUCGAUGAUUCUGCCCCUCGCCCGGUAGGUCUCCAAAGGAUCCCAUCAAAUACAAACUAGAAGAGUUACAAAUCAAACCCAUGCUCCCUCUUUAAAAGGGAAUGAGAAAGGGCAGAAGGUGGGGAGGGGACGUCUCAAUUUCAACAUUUUCUAGGGAUUUUUCCAUGCAAUUUAUCCAGUAGAAUAGGAAAAUUGGAUUUUUUUAAGGUUAUUUUUGGCAACUUUUAUUUUAUUUAUCCAGAGCUUUACUGGAUAAAUGAACUCAAAUUUUGGCAGAAUGUCGCUAAAUCAUGUGCUACUUUUAUCUAACCCAAAGCCUAGGGCUCACCCUUCAGUAACAACAUUCAUUUGCUCAGAGGUCUCUAAGAGCAGUACUUUCAAUAGCCUAUGAUGUUUGAGGAGGACUAUGGGACCUCACUGGCCAACAACUCCAAAAGAUCCUGGCACUUGUCUUUUUAUGUGAUAGCCUACAGUAUCUACUAGAAUCUACUGCUAAAUGGAACACAACAUCAAACGGACUCCUAAUGGCUUAUAGUUAUACUCAUCAAUUAAUCCAUUACCCACAACAGGUCAACAUACAGAGAUUAAGAGACUAGAGAAUGCUCGGCUCUAAGCGAAACGUUUAUAUUGUAUAUGCUCCUCCCAAGGGUUGGGGGUCAUUGUGGAAGACAGCAUAAAGAGAUUGUAAGAGGAGCGGUGAAUAAUUACAAGAAGGCUGUGUUCUGGCCACAGCAAAGAGUUGCAAAUAUUAACUCACAGCAGUUGAGACAACAUGAACAGGACCUGCAUAGGGUCAAUACAGGUAAAAUCCCAGCAUGAGGAGAGGAAAUGAACAUGAAGCCCCACCCCCCGUUAAGGUGAUAUUGGCAAUUGAUAGGCACUGAGAAGUGGAGGGUAAGUAUUCUUUUAAGGGUACGGCCCCUGUGAGUUGAUCACGUGCCAGCAGAAUGUCUCACAUCCAAUGGACAGGGCUGGAUCUCAGAGUGAGGGGAAGGGAAUGAAUACGAUCAAAGUACAUUAGAAAAAUCUCGGGUAACAAAUUAAAAACGAGACUAGAAUAACAGUAUGUUCCUACUAGCUAGGAGUUGAGAGGAUUUCAAACUGUCCCCCAGUACUCUGAAAUAAAAGUUCUAAAGUACUUCGUGAAUGAAUUAAUAUAAUUGGGCAAAAAUUGGAGGAAGCGAAAUCUGCAAAGGUUUCAUUGUGCACCCUUGGCUGUGCUCUGUGUGUCUCAUCCGCCACAGUGACAAUCUCAGCCUUCUCAAGCUUGUCUGAUCCAUAGGAUGCCUUCCGAUUUCUGUGGCACUCACAGCAAAACCUCAUUGACCUUGAAUCUGGGAACGUAAGCCUGCUCUCUGCCUUUGUAAGGUCUGGAAAGACGAUUCUCAGUAGCCUCGAACUAGAAGGAUGGGAGAAUGGACAGAUGAUGAGGAUUGUGAACUGGCUAUGCCUUUGACUGGGGUAUCUGAGCCUCUACUUACGAUUCUCUGGAGCAGUCAGCAAACAGGAAUAAGUCAGAACUCCUUAAUAUGCCACUGCACAUUUUUUUCAGUGCCACCUUCAAGGAAGUAAAGAACAAUGGAGUCUUUCUCCCGUAUAAUGCUGGUGUCAGAGUGUAAUGAGAGACAAGUCAGGCACUCGUCUCAUAAGGACUCUACAGAACUAAAGAAGCGCACAGAGGGAAUGGUUAUCUGUACCGUGGUCUUGAAUGCAUAUGUCAGCUACACUUAAUGAGUUCUGUCCACAGUCCUUGACACACACUGAAACAAAGCCCCUGCUAAAGGUAGCAGGUCAUUAUGCAUUCAUUGGAUGGUGCUACGUGGUCUCUCCCAUACCUGAUCUAAGACUCACCUAAUAUAGUGGCAUCAUACAUCUCUCUCUGUAAGACCACCAGGAGGAACAACUUUAUAAUGCCAUAAUAUCAUUUAUCAUGGGCUACAGAAGAGGCAACAGGUGCUCAAGGGAAUGUCUUAUGGGAAGAGGAAGUCUGUGGGUGAAACUUCUAUCUACAACAAUGCUAUUUUCUUCCCAGAAAGAACACCUUAAACCCAACAACCAAACCAUUUGAAAAAUUCUUAAUGCAUCACAUGGGCAGCAGUCAGGCUGUCCUGUCCUCAGAGGCAAAUUAUGUAAAAAAAAAAAAAACAAAAAAAACACAUAGUUAGCUCAUUAAUAUAUUAUGCAUUUUGCAAUGACACUAGCCAAGAUUUUGGCCAGUAAGUAAAUUAAUAUAAAUAUUGCAUCUCUUUUCAUCAUCUGUAUAACUGUGCAAGACAUGGUGUCUUCAGAUCAUGCUGUAGAGAUGAGGGAGGGCAAGAUUAUUACCAAUGUAACACCUGGCAGAGUGAAAUCAAAACCUAGACUCAGCCCUCAGAUUUAGCUCAUCAUGAAGCAAGUCAAAGCCCACCUUCCUUGAGAGAUUUCCAGGGUAAACUCAUAAUUAGCCUGACCAUUUUAUAAUUUCCUAGCUCCUAGCACACUAUUCUAUAAAAUCAGUACAUUACUGGAAGCUGUUAUUAAAAUUAUUUUAUGGAUCUCUAUUCUAUUUUUGUAUUUGAACAUACAGCUCUGGCUUUGUGUAUCCUACAACCUUCCCAUAUGCUGCUCUCACCCAAGUGAAUGUCCCUUCUCCAGGCCUCUUGUGCAUUCAACACUCAGCACGGGCCAAGGGAGGCUCCCUUCUACCCUGGAAAUUUUCCAGCCUUUAACAUCACUGACCAUUGAGGAAGCCUGCUCAAUCUCACGUCCCUAAUGCACACAGUGCCCAUUCUACUGCAUAUCUCCUGAGCGUCUAUUCUCUUCCAUUUCCUUCAGGACCUCAGUCGGCUCGAGAAAAGAAAUCUUAGCUCAUUUCUCUCACAACCCCAGAAGCUAGCGAUUGAGAAAUGCAUACAUAGUCCAGUAAAGGGCCGUGAAAUCCAACAAGGCAGCCAGCAGCUUUGAGGAAUUCCAAGUCUUAUGGAAGAGCGCGGCAUUUGAAGAGAGUAUGGUGAGGUGUACUUCCCACACCUCAGCAGGUUUGUGGUACUUUGGGAACAGAGAUACGAAGAGGCUGCAAUAUCCCUACAGUGAAGCAUUGGAAAGCAAAAUUGAACCAAGUCUUGAGAGAAGAUUGGAAAGUCAGCAGAUAAUGUUUAUAGAGCUGAGGAGUAUGUGGAAAGGAAAGGGGGAAGGCAGUCCUACGAUGUGCUGUACAGUCCACGGGUUCUCCCUGGAGGAACCAACCCUCACUCCACUAUGUCUGCUGAGUCUAAUAGCAUGACCCAUCACAUUCUCUGCUUUUGCUGGGACACCAGUCUUCCAAGAGGCUUUGAAAAAUUAUUUAGCCUCCUCAGGGAAGUAGACCUGAGGGCAGAAUUGGUAGAGAGAAUAGAGGUGCAGAGGUUCAAUGGAUUGAGAUAAAGAUCUAUCAAGGAUGAGGUGGAAGGAAGGGUCAGUCUUUGGCUCAGAUAAUUUCUGAAACCUUGGUGUACCCCAUACCUUCCUGGAGUUUGGAUUUUUAAUCAGACUUAUUCUUACAAACACAAGAUCCUAGCCAACCACAGCAAGACCUUAAAAAUAACACUUCAUACUAUUUAUACAUAGAAAUGGGCC